GACGAACGCUGGAGGCGUGCUUAACACAUGCAAGUCGAACGAUGAAAUGGAGCUUGCUCCAUGGAUUAGUGGCGAACGGGUGAGUAACACGUGAAUAACCUGCCCUUAAUUUUGGAAUAACCCAGGGAGACCUGGGCUGAUACCGGAUAAGUAAACCUGUGGCAUCACAUGGUUUUGGAAAGUUUUUCGAUUAAGGAUGGAUUCGCGGCCUAUCAGCUUGUUGGUGAGGUAAUGGCUCACCAAGGCGACGACGGGUAGCCGGCCUGAGAGGGGGAACGCCCACACUGGGACUGGCACACGGCCCAGACUCAUACGGGAGGCAGCAGUGGGGAAUAUUGCGCAAUGGACGAAAGUCUGACGCAGCGACGCGGCGUGAGGGACGAAGGUCUUCGGAUUGUAAACCUCUUUCCGCAGGGACGAAGCGAAAGUGACGGUACCUGCAGAAGAAGCACCGGCUAACUAUGUGCCAGCCGCCGCCGUAA
rnacentral:rRNA from 1 species